AGCCAAGGAGAAAUAUAGCCCCAGGGAUAUAGAUGGGAAAUGAAAUCACCUGGCCCCUGACUCAGUCCAUCUCCCAGGCUAACUGGGAGCUACUGGAUACAGGCAUCAGGAAGGUGAUGUGAAAGAUGCCGCAGGUGAAAGAGAAGAAGAACGCGGAGCACCUGAGCAGCUGUGGAGCCUCGGAUUCGUUGGAAGGCACAUUCUUGGAAGAAUAGGCUCCUGUAAUGAGAUUGGGCACAUCCAGGCCAUCUUCUAUUUUACUGUCCGCAUAACACAAUCCAGGAAGUGAAAUCUCAGCAUGUUCACAGAUCCU
rnacentral:lncRNA from 1 species